CUGAGUUAUCAUGACUCCAUCUUGGUUAUCUGAUGAGAACAGUAAUCCAAGUGUGAUGGACUUGCUCCUCUCCAGAGAGUGGCAGUGACUGAACUAAAAGAUGCAUGAGGACCACUGAGGGUAGGCAGUCACUGAAGCGUGAAGAUCUGUGGACAUGAAAGACUUAUACGUACAGAGAGGAGCCUCCAGAACAACAGGGGAAUUGCUAACCAUAUUUUGUGUGAGCACAUGUAAGUGAAGGCUGUAAACGAAGACUAAGCACAAUGCAAACUUGGAAAACACUUUGAAGAGGCACCUACAUACAAAAAUUGAGGAGGACUCAGCAUGGACAAAACCAGCAGAUAUGUUUGUAUCUACAGGUUAUCAGGUUUGGAUAUAUUAAUUAAAAUUGUGUUGACUUAUGCAGCAUAAGAUGCUUGUCAUUUUAACAUGAUACACAAUGAUAGAAGAUAAUGAAUUAAGUUGCCAGUGGACCUUUCCCCUAGGAUGAUGUUAUUGUGCUUGAUAAUUAGCUAUAAUAUGCGAAUAGUAACACUUCAAAG